UACUUCUCUUGGUGUUUUUUUUCUGCAAGCUGAGGACAUAGGACACCUCAAGUCAUUGAGAGUGACAAAGGGACUCGUUUUAGUGGUGCAGUGAUACAACACUAGGCAGAAGAAAACAACUUUGAAUGGCAAUUCUACCUGCCAUAUAAUCCAAUGGGGGCAGGCCUCAUUGAACAUUAUAAUCAUAUUCUUAAGGCUGCCCUGAAGACAGAUGCUCAGUCCCUGAAGAGGUGGACAAAGUCACUCCAUGAAAUCCUGUGGGACCUGAAUGAAAGACCUAGAGACAGCAGACCCAGUGCCCUACAGACAAUGUGGGCCUCCUCACUUGGGAUCCAAAUGAUGGGCAUUGAUAGUCAGAGCACACUGUGGGAAAAGUCAUUCCUGAGAACACCAAGCAAUACCAGUGCAUCUUUGCGAGAACAAGAUUACUGAAAAAUGUCAUUUGGAGUUAGAAGUGUAGAACAUCACUUCACUGCAGCGCAGAUGGAUCUGUGGAACAGGAGGUACAAUACGUCGUCAUGAAUAGCCUUACAGCUUUGAUGAAAAGCCCCAGGAAAUCAAGCAAUGCAGUGACCAGUUUUAAAACUAACUAGAAGUAAAACAGUUUUUAAUCUAGAGUUUUCUAGGUCUCAAAAACAUAGGUUUCAAAAAAAGUUUCCCACAUGCUAAACCAGGGAGAAGCUGUGCAUACAAAUUAACUAAAUUGUUUAAAUGGGAUCAGACAGACAUCUCAGAACCCUUAGGUGCUGGCAUGUGUCACAGAAUGUCACCUGCCUACAGAAGUAUGCUCAUGAAGAACAAGCUAGGGGGGAAUGGGGAGGGAAAAAUGCUUGCAGGUACUACAAGACAGACAGUGGAGAGAUUGUCUGUGGGUCUAGUGUGAAACUUUUAAAUUUGUACAUUGUCAGAAGAGAAAAUUUACUUUUAUACUCAGGAAGUCCUACUCACAGUAGAUUAUUACCUCAACUGCUGAAAGGUGCUGUGGGAGACAACAGACAAAGGAAUUUCUCUCUGUAAAAUCUGUGGUCAAAUCAUCAAGUAGCUACAUGGGAAAAAAAGUCAGAAGACAAUAAUAAUAAUAAUAAUGCUUGCUGUAGACGAUAUAAAAUGACUGCAUAAGAUUAUGAGCAGCAAAAAUAAGCAGAAAAUCAGAGUAGAUACGAUUAACGUACAUGUUAACAUACAUGCAAAGUUUUUAUUAUUAAUGAAAAUAUGUCAUUGGGAAGGAAAGAAGAUAUUAAAGAGCAAGCUCAUUUUUAUAUAGUUCAGCUUACUCAUGAAUUAAAAAA